AUUAGUCCACUUCUUGUGCUGUAUUGGUGGUUUACAGCGAAGAACAAAGAAAAGGAAACAAGCAACAAACUAUUACUAGGACUAACAAAAAUGUGAUGUAACAAUCUUGAAUACUGGAAAACAGGAGAGAAACCCAAAUCAAACAAAGAAAAACUGGUGGAUUUUUCUUGGCUAGCUAGCAGUUGUGAAGUAGGGUUAAGAUUGGUGGCGCAUGACUCAUCGUCAUCAACAUCUAUAAAAGGAGAUAGACACCCUUUGUCCUUAACCAAGCCUUUUUCUUUUUGGGUCUUUCACAGACUUGCCAGAAUGAGCUACAUUUCUGCAACAGUGACAAUGGGGUAUUGGGAAGUGUUGGUCACUGGCUUUAUGGCUUCAUGGGUUUUGAGUGUAGUGGGUGAUACUUUGCCUCCAUGUGACUUCCCAGCAAUUUAUAACUUUGGGGACUCAAAUUCAGACACUGGUGGCAUAUCUGCUGCGUUUGAGCCAAUUCGAGCACCAUAUGGUGAGGCUUUCUUUCACAAAACAGCUGGUAGAGAUUCUGACGGCCGCCUCAUCAUAGACUUCAUAGCUGAGAGGUUGAAAUUGCCAUACUUGAGUGCCUACCUGAACUCCAUUGGGACAAAUUAUAGGCAUGGAGCCAAUUUUGCCACGGGAGGAUCAACCAUUAGGAGGCAGAAUGAGACCAUAUUUGAGUAUGGGAUUAGUCCUUUCUCUCUUGAUAUGCAGAUUGUGCAAUUUAACCAAUUUAAGUCACGGACUGGAGAUCUCUACCAUGAAGUGAAGAAUACCCCUGAGGCAGAAAAACUCCCCAGACCAGAGGAAUUUGCUAAGGCUCUUUACACUUUUGAUAUUGGUCAAAAUGAUCUUUCUGUUGGGUUUAGAAAGAUGAGCUUUGAUCAGCUUAGAGCAGCAUUGCCAGACAUCGUUAACCAAUUGGCCUCAGCAGUCCAAGUACUAAGUAGCCCUAUGCUAAUAAUGAUUGCUUGAGUAGUUGCUUAACAUGUUUUUAGUUUUUACACAUAUAAAGCAACUUUGAUAAAUAGCAUAUGUGGAUAUAUGCAUGUUUGUAUUUGUUUCAGAAUAUAUAUCAACAAGGAGGGAGGGCAUUUUGGAUACAUAACACAGGCCCUAUUGGUUGCUUGCCAGUGAAUCUUUUCUAUGUCUCCAAUCCGCCUUCUGGUUAUCUUGAUGAGCAUGGCUGCGUCAAGGCACAAAAUGAGAUGGCCGUAGAGUUUAACAGCAAGCUUCAGGAUAGAAUUGUUAAACUAAGGGCAGAGCUUCCAGAAGCUGCAAUUGCAUAUGUGGAUGUAUAUUCUGCUAAGUAUGGACUUAUAAGCAAUGCAAAGAAUCUAGGAUUAGCUGAUCCACUGAAGGUUUGCUGUGGUUAUCAUGUGAAUUUUGACCACAUAUGGUGUGGGAAUAAGGGAACUGUUAACAAUACUGAAGUCUAUGGUGCCUCUUGCAAAGACCCUUCAAUCUUUAUAAGCUGGGAUGGUGUGCACUACUCUCAGGCUGCAAAUCAAUGGGUUGCUGAUCAUACACAGAACGGUUCACUGGCCAACCCUCCAAUCCCAAUUACUUAUGCGUGUCAUAGACAGUAAGUGGAAUAACCAGGUUAAAGAACUGGAAUAUUAGUAUUGAAAGUGCGUUAGUAGAAUUGCAUGUUUUUAGGUUGAAGUUGCAUUUGAUUUGUGUUCUCAGGAUGAUUGUCAAAUGACCAUGAGAAUUUUCCACUGUAUCUGAGAAAUCAGAUUAAGAAAGAGCAAUAAAUGAUCCCGUUCCCUAUUAACAUUUCCUCAUAUCUAGAGUAUGUUAGCCUUGGUUGGCAUGUUUGUUCCUUUUUGAUAGUUUUUGUGUUUUCAAUUGUUCUGGUUUAAAUCUCAAGUUCAUAAGCCAGGCUGCCAGUAUAUCAAUAACACUGGCUCUCAGUCUAUUUCUGGGUUCAGUUAAUCCUUGGACUGGUAGUAGGACAUUCUUGUUGUUCCUUUUGGUGAAAUUCUUAGAUACACCAGUUGGAGUGCAUUUCAUACCUUUAAGUAUUUAUGAGAGAGUCUUAGCCAUGAAUUAACUAAGGGAUCUCAUUGGAGCACUAAAUAAUUACUCUUACUGUUGCCGUUUUCUGACACUAGAGUGACCAUAUUCCAGUUCCAGCCAUGUUGCAAGAUUUCGG
rnacentral:misc_RNA from 1 species